AAUCGAAUGACAAAAUAAUUCAGUUUUCCUCAACAAAUUUGAAACAAUCAUGGGUAUGAGUGUAUUGGUUCUUUUAUGGAGCUGUCUUUGAAGUACUCUCCUUUGAGCUUUCAAGACUGUCAAAAUUGAGAUAAGACAAUGGGCCCAAGUCUGCAUUUGCAUAUAUUCAUCAUUAAAUCAAUUUGGCUUGGCCAAGUAUAAGGAAACCUGUAUCAGCUUUGCUCAGGUGAGCCAGACAGUCAAGUUUCGACCUUGGAUUAGGUGAACGACUUUUGAAAAUUCUGAAUUAGAUUGGUGUAGUCCAUAGUACCAUAAUGUUUGCAUUAUUGUGGUGGUGCCAAGCUAUCCUUUACCACGGCCUUCUCUGCUUUGUUUGGAAGUUUUGUGAAGAUGGAUGAAACCUACCUUGGCUCCUUUUUUCCUCAGGUCCUUUGAUAAACAGAACUUUAUGAAAAAUUUGACUGCUUGUGUAACAUCAUUUAGAAUUAUUGGAUCUGCAGUUUAAUUAUGUCAUAAAAUUAGUUUCAUGUGGUUCUGAGCACUGUGAAUGGGCUUGCUGCUGGUUGCUCUUUCUGCUUUAUCCUGAUUCUGUUGGUGAAGAGCUGUUCUUCUGAUAUAACUGGAAUUAUUCCUAUUCAUCUUUAUUUCAUUUGAAUUCAGGAGACUGACAGUGUGAUCGGAUAGUUAGAUGAUCUUCGAUGUUGUGCUGGUCAGAGGUCGUGGAUCACGUUUCAUAAAAUUCUCGUACCUUUGCGGUACCCGAUAGGAGGAAGGACCUCUCAUCAAGCCUGGGUUUGUCUCUCCACUCUUGAUACUUCUGCAUUAAAUGCCAAAGUGGUUCAAGGAUACCACGGGUUGACAAUAUCAGACUGGCUUUGAAGUUGAAAUUGAGAGAACACGAAUGGGCUCUAAAGUCUGGUUAUAUAUUCAUCAUGAAAUCAAUUUGCCUUGAUAAAGCAUGUGUAGGAAACAUAAAACCAGUCCACAAUUGCAUCGACCUUAGCUUCUCCUGUGAGCUAGAC